CCGGGAGUAACUUAAUUGGUAGAGGGUCAACCUGUCGAGUUGCACGAUGCGGGUUCGAAUCCUGCCUCCCCCG
rnacentral:tRNA from 1 species